CUGCCUAGGAGAGAAGAGCCCGGUGGCUGCUCUCAUCCCUGUGGCCUACUCACCUUUUCCCUGUGAAAUGGGGAACUUCAGCAGCCAAAGGAUGCAAAGCAAAAUUUGCAAAGGGAAAAGGCACACAGAGUCCAAGGGAAACCAGGCAUAAGUUUCGAAGAGUCCUCUCCCAGCAGAGUCCCACCGGGCAGCCGAAAUUCCCUUGCAACGAGCUGUCACAACACGUGUGAAAUGGGACCAGCCCGCACACUGCUGAAGUCUGAAUAGUUAUGGCUCUGGCCUCCACUGAGCCUUGGGCAAGCCCUGGAUCUUGAACUCUAACGAAGCCUCGCUGAGCAUGCGGCCUCUCCACAAUACCCCAAGCUCACCCAGAUGCACACACACACCAGCAUGGGUUCCCUGGAACAUUCUACAAUGAAGGUGUCACCUAAUGGCUAUAUCGCUCCCGAAAAGUAACUGUUGAAAUCACUCUGAUUGUUACGGUGAACUCCAGUUUUUGUAUAUGAUUGUGCUUCAAUACCAAUAUACUUAUAAAUAUGGUUUAUAAUCCUGUUGCAUGGAAUAUUCACAACACCCUGCGACAACUGGGGUUUUUAAAGGAAAAUAAAUAAAGG